CAGCAGCCACGGGAAUACGUAGGUGGCAAGCGUUGUCCGGAAUUAUUGGGCGUAAAGGGCUCGCAGGCGGUUUCUUAAGUCUGAUGUGAAAGCCCCCGGCUCAACCGGGGAGGGUCAUUGGAAACGGGGAAACUUGAGUGCAGAAGAGGAGAGUGGAAUUCCACGUGUAGCGGUGAAAUGCGUAGAGAUGUGGAGGAACACCAGUGGCGAAGGCGACUCUCUGGUCUGUAACUGACGCUGAGGAGCGAAAGCGUGGGGAGCGAACAGGAUUAGAUACCCCCGUAGUCCCUGUCUCUUAUAC
rnacentral:rRNA from 1 species